CGGAAGUUUCAGGCAGCCAUUUCCCAGAUUGUUCUACUAAAUAUUUGCAGUGAUGAUGACUACAGGUUUCCACUUACAUUAUAUUCACCCCAAUUCCCAGAUCCAUUAUUGGCAAAACCAUAUUACACAGAUCUAAUGAAAAUCGUCGACGCCAACUACUAUGAAAAUUGUACAUUUAAAUAGUAAACACCGAUAUGCUAACAUAAUUAACAACACUAAACACAGCUGAUUACAACCAAUUCACACUCUGAUCCCACUAGUCUUAUUCCUUCCAACAAUCACAAACUGAGCCAUCUUUGACACCGCUGCAGUGAAACCACUUUGAAAUGAUUUGACCGUAACAAAAGCGAAGUAGUUACAGUCUCCACAAUGUAGCUCCAUAUGUACAGAUUUAAAACAAGAAGCACCUCAACGGGAAAUGCCAUGAAAGUUAUUAAACGUGGAACAUUUAAGUUUAAGCAUCAACAGCUUGUGAGACUGAUUUUGUGGGAUUUGAGUCCCCUCUUCCACUGGGUUUUGAUCUAGUCUUGAUGGGCU
rnacentral:lncRNA from 1 species